rnacentral:lncRNA from 1 species
AUCUGGGUCAAUGCGGCAUCGUUCUGGAGCCACUGAUCAGACUCCAAACGGCGUCGUUUCGUACAUCACGUAAGGGAAAAAAUAAAACCCUAAACUGGUAGCCACAGCUUCAUUUUUCGAAACGAAAAUAAAAUAAAAUAAAAUAAAAUAAAAACAAGAACCCAAAUGCUCUCCUCUCUGCGCCGCUUCAACACCGAAAGCCCC